rnacentral:rRNA from 1 species
GAUGAACGCUGGCGGCGUGCUUAACACAUGCAAGUCGAACGAAGCACUUUUGCUGAGACCUUCGGGUGGAUUUAAAAGUGACUGAGUGGCGGACGGGUGAGUAACGCGUGGGUAACCUGCCUCACACAGGGGGAUAACAGUUAGAAAUGACUGCUAAUACCGCAUAAGCGCACGGUCUCGCAUGGGACAGUGUGAAAAACUCCGGUGGUGUGAGAUGGACCCGCGUCUGAUUAGCUAGUUGGUGGGGUAACGGCCUACCAAGGCGACGAUCAGUAGCCGACCUGAGAGGGUGACCGGCCACAUUGGGACUGAGACACGGCCCAAACUCCUACGGGAGGCAGCAGUGGGGAAUAUUGCACAAUGGGGGAAACCCUGAUGCAGCGACGCCGCGUGAUUGAAGAAGUAUUUCGGUAUGUAAAGAUCUAUCAGCAAGGAAG